CACGUAGGGCGCAAGCGUUGUUCGGAUUCAUUGGGCGUAAAGGGUGUGUAGGUGGCGCCGUAAGUCAGGUGUGAAAUCUCGGGCUUAACUCCGAAACUGCAUUUGAUACUGCGGUGCUUGAGGACUGGAGAGGAGACUGGAAUUUAUGGUGUAGCAGUGAAAUGCGUAGAUAUCAUAAGGAAGACCAGUGGCGAAGGCGGGUCUCUGGACAGUUCCUGACACUGAGACACGAAGGCCAGGGGAGCGAACGGG
rnacentral:rRNA from 1 species